GAGGGGGCUUAAAUGUUUAUAAAUUAAUAAAUAAUCAUUCACUUUAACUUUUUUAAAAACUUAAUUUUAUUGUUCUAGGCCUAUUUGUGUAAGGAUUUGAAACUGUCUUUAUUAAUUAAUUCAGAGAGAGAGAGAGAGAGAGAGAGAGAGAGAGAGAGGAACAGUAGACACAAUUAUAGAACAAAUUUCUACAUGUUAAACAGUGUAUUUUGAUAGGUAUUAAUUUUGAAAAAAAUUAGUCAACUAGAAUUCUAAAUUGAUUCAAGAUUGUCAUUCAAAUUUCUAUUACUGUUACAGGUCCCUAUGGGAGAAUAAGAUGUCAUCAUCAUCACUCCUUUGUGGCCCCUGGGGAGCAAAGGGCUGCAACCACACAUCUCCAGCGGACUUGGUUUUGGGCUGCUCCUCUAAUCUGUGCCCAUGAGAGCCCAGCUGUUUUCGCCUCCUCCUCAACCGUUCUCUUCCAUGUUUUCCUUGGCCGGCCCACCCUCCUUUUUCCCUGGGGAUUCCAGUCUAAUGCAUGUUUUGAUGAAUAAGAUGCCUUUCAGGUGUUGUGUAUAUCAAUCAGCCCACUGGAGAUAUAUCAAUCUUUAAUAAAUUAUAAGGUCCCCACUGCUUGAUACUUCACCAAAUACUGGCUACACCAGAAAAUGACUAAAUGUUCUUAACACUUAACAACUACCACAAGCAUUACUUCUGGGUCACUCUGAAGGGUCUAAUCGUUCAAUUACUGAAUUGAUAAAGUUGAUGAAAUUGCUCAAAAAUUGUCUGGCACCUUCUUAGCUCAGAGACAUAGGAAUGUGGAUGGAUUAUGACAUACCUUGCAUAAAUCAACAACCAGGGUUUUAUUGGAUUUGAAUCCCAAAGGAAAGAGAAAGUUUGUUAUCCAAAACAAACAUGGAAAAUAUCAGAAACCAACAAAACACAAGCAGGCAGAGUGUUAUGGACACAACUUUGGGGAAUCUCCUAAAACCAAGUAUAAAAAUAGAGAGGUGUGGUUGUGUCUCUCAGCUCCACAAGGGUCCACAAGAAUGAGGACAACAUUGAUUUUUGUAAUAAUUUUAGAUCAGAUUUAAAAAAAAAAAUUUGAUCAGAUGGAUCAGGUUAACAGUUUAAUACAUAUUGCAUUUAAGUGCUUAACGAAAAGAAAAGAUGCUCUUACCAAAAUAGUCUAAGAACAAUGCUGAUUUUAAAUUAAUAAAUUGUUUCCUUUUGUAAUAAUAUAAUAAUUUAAGUUGGCAUUGUAUGUAUGUUUAGUGUAGAUUUAAUGCCCUAAAUGAAAUAUACAAUUGACAUUUUUUUCUUUAAAGAAUUAGUUGCAAAUUCCUUUCAUUAUUUAGUUUCACUGUACAAUCUGAAAAAAGCUUGCAACAUUUGUAUUGACAAUACUUCUGCUGGUGAUAUUUAUUUCUAAUUAAUGAAGUAAAUUAAUAUAUAUUCAGUUUACUAUAAUUAAAUACCUCAUACUCGAGACAAAAAAACAUUUAUUAAAUAUCGCAGUGAUAUUCCUGUUCUACACAAUGCGUAUAAACCCUCGAACCAUCUGUCUUUUGAAAGAUUGCACAUUUUGUAUACACAAUGGCAUUCAUUUCAACACUAUUUAACCACAAUUAUAAUCUAGAGAUCCUGAACAUAUUUUCGUUCUGUUAUUUAUGGACAAGGCAGACUGGUCCAGCAUUAAAAUGUAAACCUUAAUUAGAAUACUUAAACGAGCUAUGCAAUUAAAUGUUGUUAGACAAAUAUUUUAUACUUUUUAUUUUUAAUGUUAUGUUUACGUAUCAUAGUACAAGACAGCUUCUGUAUUCUUGUACAGUAAAUUAAGUUUUUACAUUAGUUUAAUUUAAACUGUAGGCCUGCUUAACAUCUGUUACAUUAUAUGAAAAUGUUUUGUAUAUUUGUUUUAAUUUGUUUGUAUAAAAGUCAAAAUGAAAGUUACUACACUAUAAUUUACUUAUUCUUUUUCAAUCAAUACUUUAUAGUAUAGUUAUAAUUUUCUUACAAUUGAAUGGAU